rnacentral:rRNA from 1 species
UCCGUAGGUGGAUAAUUAAGUCAGAGGUGUAAUCCUGCAGCUCAACUGUAGAAUUGCCUUUGAUACUGGUUAUCUUGAGUCAUUAUGAAGUGGUUAGAAUGUGUAGUGUAGCGGUGAAAUGCAUAGAUAUUACACAGAAUACCGAUUGCGAAGGCAGAUCACUAAUAAUGUACUGACACUGAGGGACGAAAGCGUGGGGAGCGAACAGGAUUAGAUACCCUGGUAGUCC